rnacentral:rRNA from 1 species
AGAGUUUGAUCCUGGCUCAGAACGAACGCUGGCGGCGUGCUUAACACAUGCAAGUCGAACGGGAUCCAGAGCUUGCUCUGGUGAGAGUGGCGCACGGGUGAGUAACGCGUGGAUAACCUGCCCUGGUAUCCGGAAUAACAUCUCGAAAGGGGUGCUAAUACCGGAUAAGCCUACGGAGCCCUCGGUCUCUGCAGGAAAAGGUGGCCUCUAUUUAUAAGCUACCGUAUCAGGAUGGGUCCGCGUACCAUUAGCUAGUUGGUGGGGUAAUGGCCUACCAAGGCGACGAUGGUUAGCUGGUCUGAGAGGAUGAUCAGCCACACUGGAACUGAGACACGGUCCAGACUCCUACGGGAGGCAGCAGUGGGGAAUUUUGCGCAAUGGGGGAAACCCUGACGCAGCAACGCCGCGUGAGUGAUGAAGGCUUUCGGGUCGUAAAGCUCUGUCAGAGGGGAAGAAAUGAGAUUGGCUAAUAUCCAAUUUUCUUGACGGUACCCUCAAAGGAAGCACCGGCUAACUCCGUGCCAGCAGCCGCGGUAA